UAACAAAUGACUUGCGGAGAGUUCAGUACAUCCUGCCUAAAUAAGAUGUAACAAUCCAAGAACAACGAGGAACUGAGUAGAUGUUUUUUCCUCCCAGGAUGUUUUCAGCUGGUGUAGUAAUCUUGUCUAGAGAAUCACAGCAUCACCAGAUCAUUGAGGUCUCAGUUGUGACCAGAGGCUAAAAAGGGAACUAUGUCUGGGAAUUCCAUAGCUGGGCUGUAGGCAGAACUAGGCUAACCAAAUGAUUUUUCCCUAAAAUUAUGCAGCAUUGCUCCCGACAGUGGAUCCUGCCUGACCUGGGGAAAAGGGGAGGUGAUAGUGAACUAGUAAUUGCUGAGUCGCCCUCUUGUGUCUAACACAGUGCCAGCUGCUUUCUAGGAUUAGCACAGCCUCUGACAACUGAGUUCUUCCUGGUGCAGUCCUUGUGCUAAGUACUUCAUUCACUAUCUUUCUUAAGUGUCACAACAGUCCUAUCACGUACCUGCGAUUAUUACCUGUUUUUCCAGGUGAAUGUGAAGAUCAGGCUCCACAAAUAGUCCAUACUAGAGAGGAAUUUAAGCCCACCACGGAUUUCAAAGUCCACAUUCUUUACUACUGGACUAUUCUGUUUCCAUGUGCACAUUAACAGAGGAGAGGGCCAGGGAUUUACCUCAGUGGUUCUGCCACCUGCCUUGCAAAAGCGCAAGGUCCCAAGUUAGAUCCCACAGAAAAAGGGGCUCAGAGAGGUUAAGCAACCUACCCGAUGGCAGAACCAGGACUCAGAUCCAGAGCUGUCAAAGCCACAACUUAUGCGCCUUCUAUUGUCCUCUGCUUCCUUUGCCUACGGUCUCAGAGGAGCCAAAGGAUGUGGGAGCCACUUCACUGGUGUCCUGUAUCUGAAAGGGGGUGACUUAUAGGCAGCUCAUGCUGGGAACUCGGCCUUGGGAUGGUCAGGGAGGACAGGUGAACAGGAGGGACCUGGAGACUUUGAUUUGGGGUAGAGGCAGACCCCAGAGGGGCCAUCCUGCUGCCCAAAUACUGAGGUCAAGGG
rnacentral:lncRNA from 1 species